rnacentral:ncRNA from 1 species
CCCAUUUAUAACACAAGGUCUUGGUCUUAAACCUCUCAUUAUCUAAACUCCAUACUUAUACAUGCAAGCCUCAACAUCACAGUGAAACAGCCCACCAUAGCCACUCAACGGAGCCGGUAUCAGGCUAACCGCCCAUAACACCAAGCAACCAAGCCACACCCCCACGGGCCCGCAGCAGUAGUUAAUAUUGGGCCAUAAGCGCAAGCUUGACCCAAUAAUGGAGCUUCACUAGGGCCGGUCAAUCUCGUGCCAGCGACCGCGGUUAUACGACAGGCCCAAGAUAAUUCCCCCGGCGUAAAGCACGACUAAAACCACAGUUCUUCCCAUUAGGAUUAAAGCUAAACCGGGCUGUAAAAAGCCAUAAGUCACACUAAAUAUUAUAAUCCUAAUACCAUAACACCUUCAACUCGUUAAAAUCAGGACACAAACUAAGAUUAGAUACCUUACUAUGCCUGACCACAACAAAACAAUCAAAUAACUAAUUGUUCGCCGAAUAACUACGAGUAAAAACUUAAAAUUUAAAAGACUUGACGGUACUUCAUACCAACCUAGAGGAGCCUGUCUAAUAACCGAUAAUCCACGAUUAACCCAACCAACUCUAGCCUGACAGUCUAUAUACCGCCGUCGCCAGCUUACCUUGUGAAAGAAAUAAAGUAAGCCUAAUAAUACCUCAUUAACACGACAGGUCGAGGUGUAACUAAUGGGUUGGACUAAGAUGGGCUACAUUUUCUCAACCAGAAAAAACGAACAGACUAUGAAACUAGAAACUGAAGGCGGAUUUAGCAGUAAGGGGGGAAUAAACAUACCUAACCGAAACUAAUGCAAUGAAGUGCGCACACACCGCCCGUCAUCCCUGUAAAACACUUAAUCUAUUCAUAAAUACCACUAUUUCACCAAAACAGGGCAAGUCGUAACAUGGUAAGCGUACUGGAAAGUGUGCUUAG